rnacentral:rRNA from 1 species
UGGUUCUCCCCGAAAGCUAUUUAGGUAGCGCCUCGUGAAUUCAUCUCCGGGGGUAGAGCACUGUUUCGGCUAGGGGGCCAUCCCGGCUUACCAACCCGAUGCAAACUGCGAAUACCGGAGAAUGUUAUCACGGGAGACACACGGCGGGUGCUAACGUCCGUCGUGAAGAGGGAAACAACCCAGACCGCCAGCUAAGGUCCCAAAGUCAUGGUUAAGUGGGAAACGAUGUGGGAAGGCCCAGACAGCCAGGAUGUUGGCUUAGAAGCAGCCAUCAUUUAAAGAAAGCGUAAUAGCUCACUGGUCGAGUCGGCCUGCGCGGAAGAUGUAACGGGGCUAAACCAUGCACCGAAGCUGCGGCAGCGAACGUAUCACCCAAGACAACUUUACGGAGUUGACGAUUGACGGAGCGAAGCGACGUCAAAGCGUUCAUUAAAGUCGAGUUGGCUUAGGGAUACGUUCGUUGGGUAGGGGAGCGUUCUGUAAGCCUGUGAAGGUGUGUCGUGAGGCAUGCUGGAGGUAUCAGAAGUGCGAAUGCUGACAUAAGUAACGAUAAAGCGGGUGAAAAGCCCGCUCGCCGGAAGACCAAGGGUUCCUGUCCAACGUUAAUCGGGGCAGGGUGAGUCGACCCCUAAGGCGAGGCCGAAAGGCGUAGUCGAUGGGAAACGGGUUAAUAUUCCCGUACUUGGUGUUACUGCGAAGGGGGGACGGAGAAGGCUAUGUUGGCCGGGCGACGGUUGUCCCGGUUUAAGCGUGUAGGUGUGUGUUCCAGGUAAAUCCGGUUCACUUUAACACUGAGGCGUGACGACGAGGCACUACGGUGCUGAAGCAACAAAUGCCCUGCUUCCAGG